rnacentral:rRNA from 1 species
UACGUAGGGGGCGAGCGUUGUCCGGAGUUACUGGGCGGUAAAGACGCACGCAGGCGGUCUGCGUAAGUUUGGAGUUGACAAGUUCGGUGGCUUAACCUGCCAAAGUGCUUCGAAAACUGGACAGACUUGAGGGCUUCAGAGGGACACGGGAAUUCCCGGGUGGGAGUGGUGGAAAAUGCGUAGAGAUCCGGAGGAACACCAAAGGCGAAGGCAGUGUGCCUGGGGAGUAACCUGACGCUCAGGUGCGAAAGCCAGGGGAGCGAACGGG